GAUGAAGAACGUAGCGAAAUGCGAUAAGUAAUGUGAAUUGCAGAAUUCAGUGAAUCAUCGAGUCUUUGAACGCACAUUGCGCCCCCUGGUAUUCCGGGGGGCAUGCCUGUCCGAGCGUCAUUGCUGCCCUCAAGCACGGCUUGUGUGUUGGGCCCCCGCCCCCCGGUCCCGGGGGGCGGGCCCGAAAGGCAGCGGCGGCACCGCGUCCGGUCCUCGAGCGUAUGGGGCUUUGUCACCCGCUCUGUAGGCCCGGCCGGCGCCCGCCGGCGACCCCAAUCAAUCUUUUUCGGGUUGACCUCGGAUCAGGUAGGGAUACCCGCUGAACUUAAGCAUAUCAAUAGCGGAGGA
rnacentral:misc_RNA from 1 species